AAAGUCGUAACAAGGUCUCCGUUGGUGAACCAGCGGAGGGAUCAUUAUAGAGUUUAUUCAACUCCCAACCCAUGUGAAUCUACCUUGUUGCUUCGGCAGGUCUUCGCAGCCCGCCCGGCGUUGUCGUUCCCUAACCGGAACACCUACCCGGGAGCUGCGGGGUAAGCCUGCCGGUAGCCCCACCAACUCUGUUUUAAUAUUGUACUUCUGAAUUUAUAACAUAAUACGUUAAAACUUUCAACAACGGAUCUCUUGGUUCUG
rnacentral:misc_RNA from 1 species